rnacentral:rRNA from 1 species
UACGAAGGUCCCAAGCGUUGUUCGGAAUCACUGGGCGUAAAGCGUGCGUAGGCGGCGCGGAAAGUCAGAUGUGAAAUCUCUGGGCUCAACCCGGAAACUGCAUCCGAUACUCCCGUGCUAGAGUAAUGGAGGGGUAGCUGGAAUUCUCGGUGUAGCAGUGAAAUGCGUAGAUAUCGAGAGGAACACUCGUGGCGAAGGCGAGCUACUGGACAUUUACUGACGCUGAGGCACGAAGGCCAGGGUAGCGAAAGGG